AAUUUUUUUGUGCGCAGGUAUAUAAAUGGAAGAUUGCAACAAUAAUCAUAUUUUAUGUUCUUCCAGCACCAAGCGAACAUGAACUACAUUUUGGGAGUCCUCGUCGUCUUUGCGCUCUGCUACAGUGCGGCCGCACAACAUCCUUGCGAUCUGCAAGGAAGGAGACACCAAUGUGACUGCGGCGUCAUCGGUGAGGUAUACUGGACUGGAAUGGCACAGAUUUGCGAAUUUAGGUGUAGAGACAUGUACGGCAGAAUCUAUACGUGCGACGAAAUAAAUGUGAUGUAGUGAUGAUCGUAGCAAUAUUAAGUACCACUUUGUCAAAUACGCAGACUGUUUCAAUAAAAUGAUUAUAAACCAA